UCAGUGUUCGUCUGAGUCAAAUUCAAUCGUUAAAACUUUCAACAACGGAUCUCUUGGUUCUGGCAUCGAUGAAGAACGCAGCGAAAUGCGAUAAGUAAUGUGAAUUGCAGAAUUCAGUGAAUCAUCGAAUCUUUGAACGCACAUUGCGCCCCUUGGUAUUCCGAGGGGCAU
rnacentral:rRNA from 1 species